AAAAGGCGAUACGUAAAGUGGCGCGCAGACACGACACUUUAAUGUUUGAACGCACAUUGCGCCCCUUACAGGGCGUGAUUAGUUGAGGGCGGGCGCAGUGGCUUCGCCGAUUUGGGUUCUGCUUGUAUGCAACCUGAAACAAAGUUCCGCGAUUAAAAUGCGUCGGAGCGCCGCCUCAGCUAAUCAGGACUACCCGCCGGACUUAA
rnacentral:misc_RNA from 1 species